UGACAGAUGGAUGACAAAUGCCCGAAUGA
rnacentral:piRNA from 1 species